AUGCAAUGAAGGAAAGAAACAGAAUAGCAUGAAACGAAACAGAGAAGGAAGGAAGGAAAGAAAGAAAAGAAAGAAAAAAGGGAAAAUUUGGGAUUUGAAGCUUUAAGCUUUAAUAGCUAACAUCUCACCCGAGGCAUCUCUGAAGAAAGGAAAAGAAAAGGUGGACGAACAAUAAUUUGAGAAAUUACGGUUUGUAUUUUUAUAAUCUGAAUUUAAUUAUUAAUUGUUAUAUUUUAGUUUAAAUGUUUAUGGUAAGAAAAUUAAGGUAAGUGUAGUAUAUUUGAUAUUGAAUUGAGUAUUUGUGAAAUUAUAAUUUAUAUGAUAUUUGAGCAUUGGUAUUGAA